rnacentral:rRNA from 1 species
UACGUAGGGUGCAAGCGUUGUCCGGAAUUAUUGGGCGUAAAGAGCUCGUAGGUGGCCUGUCGCGUCGGCUGUGAAAACUCGGGGCUCAACUCCGAGCUUGCAGUCGAUACGGGCAGGCUAGAGUUCGGCAGGGGAGACUGGAAUUCCUGGUGUAGCGGUGAAAUGCGCAGAUAUCAGGAGGAACACCGGUGGCGAAGGCGGCGUUCUGGACUGCAACUGACACUGAGGAACGAAAGCCAGGGGAGCAAACGGG